UGAAUACGAGAUGCUACGGCGUCGAAGCAGUCUAUGUCAUACUUCCAAGAAAAGCUCGCACUGUCAUAAACAAAUAAUGCCUGUACCAUAACCGACACAGGUGGGUAGGUAGAGUAUACUAAGGGGCGCGAGAUAACUCUCUCUAAGGAACUCGGCAAAAUGACUCCGUAACUUCGGGAGAAGGAGUGCCUUAUUUAUAAGGUUGCAAUAACAAGAUCCAAGCAACUGUUUAUCAAAAACACAGGUCUCCGCUAAGUCGUAAGACGAUGUAUGGGGGCUGACGCCUGCCCAGUGCCAGAAGGUUAAAGAAGUUGGUUAGCAUUCGCGAAGCUGAUAACUGAAGCCCUGGUGAACGGCGGCCGUAGCUAUAACGGUCCUAAGGUAGCGAAAUUCCUUGUCGGGUAAGUUCCGACCCGCACGAAAGGCGUAAUGAUUUGGAUACUGUCUCGGAGAGGGGCUCGGUGAAAUAGACUUGUCUGUGAAGAUGCGGACUACCUGCACCAGGACAGAAAGACCCUAUGAAGCUUUACUGUAACUUGAGAUUGAAAUUGGACUUUACUUGCGCAGUAUAGGUGGGAGGCGUUGAUAAUAUUCUUGCGGGAUUAUUUGAGCCAUCAGUGAGAUACCACUCUUGUAAUGUUAGAUUUCUAACUUUGUAUCAUUAUCUGGUCAAAGGACAGUUUCAGGCGGGCAGUUUGACUGGGGCGGUCGCCUCCUAAACGGUAACGGAGGCGCACAAAGGUUUCCUCUGAACGGGUAGAAAUCGUAUCUAGAGUGUAAAGGCAUAAGGAAGCUUGACUGUGAGACCUACAAGUCGAGCAGGGACGAAAGUCGGUCUUAGUGAUCUGACGGUGCUGAGUGGAAAGGCCGUCACUCAACGGAUAAAAGUUACUCUAAGGAUAACAGGCUGAUCUCCCCCAAGAGUUCACAUCGACGGGGAGGUUUGGCACCUCGAUGUCGGCUCAUCGCAUCCUGGGGCGGUAGUACGUCCCAAGGGUUGGGCUGUUCGCCCAUGAAAGCGGUACGCGAGCUGGGUUCAGAACGUCGUGAGACAGUUCGGUCCAUAUCCGGUGUAGGCGUUAGAAUAUUGAGAGGAGCCUUCUUUAGUACGAGAGGACCGAGAAGGACAUACCUCUGGUGUACCAGUUAUCGUGCCAACGGUAAACGCUGGGUAGCUAUGUAUGGAGUGGAUAACCGCUGAAAGCAUCUAAGUGGGAAGCCCACCUUAAGAUAAGUAUUCAC
rnacentral:rRNA from 1 species